AGAGUUUGAUCCUGGCUCAGGACGAACGCUGGCGGCGUGCUUAACACAUGCAAUUUCGAGCGAUGAAACACCUUCGGGUGUGAAUUAGCGGCGAACGGGUGAGGAACACGUGAAGAAUCUGCCUUCAACUCUGGGAUAACUCCGGGAAACCGGGGCUAAUACCGGAUAUGAGCCUCGAUCGCAUGAUUGGGGCUGGAAAGUUUUUCGGUUGAAGAUGACUUCGCGGCCUAUCAGCUUGUUGGUGAGGUAAUGGCUCACCAAGGCGACGACGGGUAGCCGGCCUGAGAGGGCGACCGGCCACACUGGGACUGAGACACGGCCCAGACUCCUACGGGAGGCAGCAGUGGGGAAUAUUGGGCAAUGGAGGAAACUCUGACCCAGCGACGCCGCGUGAGGGAUGAAGGCCUUCGGGUUGUAAACCUCUUUCAGUAGGGAAGAAGCGAAAGUGACGGUACCUACAGAAGAAGCACCGGCUAACUAUGUGCCAGCAGCCGCGGUAAUACAUAGGGUGCAAGCGUUGUCCGGAAUUAUUGGGCGUAAAGAGCUCGUAGGUGGUUCGAUACGUCGGAUGUGAAAAUCAGGGGCUCAACCCCUGACCUGCAUCCGAUACGGUCGAGCUAGAGUUUGGUAGGGGAGACUGGAAUUCCUGGUGUAGCGGUGGAAUGCGCAGAUAUCAGGAGGAACACCGAUGGCGAAGCAGGUCUCUGGGCCAAUACUGACACUGAGGAGCGAAAGCGUGGGGAGCGAACAGGAUUAGAUACCCUGGUAGUCCACGCCGUAAACGGUGGGCGCUAGUUGUGCGAACCUUC
rnacentral:rRNA from 1 species